rnacentral:rRNA from 1 species
UGGGGAAUAUUGCACAAUGGGCGCAAGCCUGAUGCAGCAACGCCGCGUGAGGGACGACGGCCUUCGGGUUGUAAACCUCUUUUGGCAGGGAAGAAGCGAAAGUGACGGUACCUGCAGAAAAAGCACCGGCUAACUACGUGCCAGCAGCCGCGGUGAUACGUAGGGUGCAAGCGUUGUCCGGAAUUAUUGGGCGUAAAGAGCUCGUAGGCGGUUUGUCGCGUCUGCUGUGAAAACCCGAGGCUCAACCUCGGGCCUGCAGUGGGUACGGGCAAACUAGAGUGCGGGAGGGGAGAUUGGAAUUCCUGGUGUAGCGGUGGAAUGCGCUGAUAUCAGGAGGAACACCGAUGGCGAAGGCAGAUCUCUGGGCCGUAACUGACGCUGAGGAGCGAAAGCAUGGGGAGCGAACA